rnacentral:rRNA from 1 species
GUGGGGAAUCUUGCGCAAUGGGCGAAAGCCUGACGCAGCCAUGCCGCGUGAAUGAUGAAGGUCUUAGGAUUGUAAAAUUCUUUCACCGGGGACGAUAAUGACGGUACCCGGAGAAGAAGCCCCGGCUAACUUCGUGCCAGCAGCCGCGGUAAUACGAAGGGGGCUAGCGUUGCUCGGAAUUACUGGGCGUAAAGGGCGCGUAGGCGGACAGUUUAGUCAGAGGUGAAAGCCCAGGGCUCAACCUUGGAAUUGCCUUUGAUACUGGCUGUCUUGAGUACGGGAGAGAUGAGUGGAACUCCGAGUGUAGAGGUGAAAUUCGUAGAUAUUCGGAAGAACACCAGUGGCGAAGGCGACUCACUGGCCCGUUACUGACGCUGAGGCGCGAAAGCGUGGGGAGCAAACAGGAUUAGAAACCGGGUAGUCC